rnacentral:rRNA from 1 species
AGAACGAACGCUGGCGGCAGGCUUAACACAUGCAAGUCGAACGCUCGUAGCGAUACGAGAGUGGCAGACGGGUGAGCAACACGUGGGAACGUUCCCCUCGGUUCGGAAUAACUCAGGGAAACUUGAGCUAAUACCGGAUACGUCCGCGAGGAGAAAGAUUCAUCGCCGAGGGAUCGGCCCGCGUCUGAUUAGCUAGUUGGUAGGGUAACGGCCUACCAAGGCGACGAUCAGUAGCUGGUCUGAGAGGAUGACCAGCCACACUGGGACUGAGACACGGCCCAGACUCCUACGGGAGGCAGCAGUGGGGAAUCUUGGACAAUGGGCGCAAGCCUGAUCCAGCCAUGCCGCGUGAGUGAUGAAGGCCUUAGGGUUGUAAAGCUCUUUCGGACGGGGACGAUAAUGACGGUACCGUAGAAGAACGCCCGGCUAACUUCGUGCCAGCAGCCGC